ACUCAAAGGAAUAGACGGGGACCCGCACAAGCAGCGGAGCAUGUGGUUUAAUUCGAAGCUACGCGAAGAACCUUACCAAGGCUUGACAUCCCUCGACCGGUAUAGAAAUAUAUCUUUCCAGCAAUGGACGAGGAGACAGGUGGUGCAUGGUUGUCGUCAGCUCGUGUCGUGAGAUGUUCGGUUAAGUCCGGCAACGAGCGCAACCCCUAUGAUAUGUUGCCAAUAUUAAGUUAGGAACUCAUAUCAGACUGCCGUGGAUAACACGGAGGAAGGCGGGGACGACGUCAAAUCAUCAUGCCCCUUACGUCUUGGGCAACACACGUGCUACAAUGGGCGUAACAAAGAGCAGCGAGCCGGCAACGGUAAGCGAAUCUCAAAAAAGCGUUCUCAGUUCAGAUUGUGGGCUGCAACCCGCCCGCAUGAAGUAGGAGUUGCUAGUAAUCCCGAAUCAGAAUGUCGGGGUGAAUGCGUUCCCGGGUCUUGUACACACCGCCCGU
rnacentral:rRNA from 1 species